CAAGUGGUCAAGAGAACUCGAAAGAUGUUACUUUAGUCAGUUAGUCAGCACAGAGAGCAAGACAGAGCUGCUUCACCUACAUAUCACUUCACACUGACAACCACAAUGUUCUUCUUCAUCGGGUCUGUCCUUUUCUUUUGGGAAUUUCUUGUUAAUAAUUUCGCAACUGGUUUUUUGGAGACAAACUUUUCCCCCUGCAUGUAUUCUUCCAAGACUGGAGCUUACAAUGAAUUCUUAACUAAGCAUGUACGUUCUGAUGCCCCAGAAACCCUUGACCAAAACCAGUGGCAAGCUUUUAUUAGGCAAGUAGGGUUGUGCAAUCGACCAGUUCAGUCUUUUAUCCCGUACGCCCUGAAACAACAAGUGGACAACGUCUGCUCUCCUUCAGGAGGUAAAACAUACAUGUAUAACCUGUGUGUCAGCAAACAGGAGUUCAACUUUAUUACCGUGUUCGUGGACAACAACUGUGUCGUAACGAGGGUCAUGCCGGAAAAGAAGUAUCUUUUAUUGGCUUGUGAUGAGAUCGAGAAUUACUGCCGUCCAGUGCAUUUUCAAAUAAAUCCGAAUAAUGAUGGACCAGACGAUAAAAAUCCAGACUGCAAAAAUUUGUCUAUCAAAAAAAGGCUCAGUUUAAAACGUUUAAUCUCAGCCUUCUGAUACUCACACUGCUGUCAGACUUAACCUGCUUUAUGUGAUUAACUUGACCUAGUCUGAAGGAUAUAUACAAAAACACAUAAUAGAUUUGUGCUUGUGCAACAGUUCUUCUUGCUGUGACACCCUUGAAUGUAAUCACAUGAGUUUGUGUAUGUUUGUCUGAAAUUAAUGCGCAUUUGUAUUAACAGCAACAUAAUUAUGUAUUAACUUUUUCAGGAUAAUCACAGCUGUAUAAGUUACUGUGGAUAGUCAUGUCUAAAAAUAUAUGUUUUUUUAUGACAAAA